CUCUUCGGAGUUAGUGGCGGACGGGUGAGUAACACGUGGGAACGUGCCUUUUGGUUCGGAAUAACUCAGGGAAACUUGUGCUAAUACCGAAUGUGCCCUUCGGGGGAAAGAUUUAUCGCCAUUAGAGCGGCCCGCGUCUGAUUAGCUUGUUGGUGGGGUAAUGGCCCACCAAGGCUACGAUCAGUAGCUGGUCUGAGAGGAUGACCAGCCACAUUGGGACUGAGACACGGCCCAAACUCCUACGGGAGGCAGCAGUGGGGAAUCUUGCGCAAUGGGCGAAAGCCUGACGCAGCCAUGCCGCGUGUAUGAUGAAGGUCUUAGGAUUGUAAAAUACUUUCACCGGUGAAGAUAAUGACUGUAGCCGGAGAAGAAGCCCCGGCUAACUUCGUGCCAGCAGCCGCGGUAAUACGAAGGGGGCUAGCGUUGCUCGGAAUUACUGGGCGUAAAGGGAGCGUAGGCGGACAUUUAAGUCAGAGGUGAAAUCCCGGAGCUUAACUUCGGAACUGCCUUUGAUACUGGAUGUCUUGAGUGUGAGAGAGGUAUGUGGAACUCCGAGUGUAGAGGUGAAAUUCGUAGAUAUUCGGAAGAACACCAGUGGCGAAGGCGACAUACUGGCUCAUUACUGACGCUGAGGCUCGAAAGCGUGGGGAGCAAACAGGAUUAGAUACCCUGGUAGUCCACGCC
rnacentral:rRNA from 1 species